UACGGAGGGGGCUAGCGUUGUUCGGAAUUACUGGACGUAAAGCGCGCGUAGGCGGACCUGCAAGUCGGGUGUGAAAGCCCUGGGCUCAACCCAGGAAGUGCACUCGAUACUGCCUAGCUAGAGUCCCGGAGAGGUUGGUGGAACUCUCGGUGUAGAGGUGAAAUUCGUAGAUAUCGAGAAGAACACCGGUGGCGAAGGCGGCCAACUGGACGGUGACUGACACUGAGACGCGAAAGCGUGGGGAGCAAACAGG
rnacentral:rRNA from 1 species